CCUACGGGUGGCAGCAGUGGGGAAUAUUGCACAAUGGGGGAAACCCUGAUGCAGCGACGCCGCGUGAGUGAAGAAGUAAUUCGUUAUGUAAAGCUCUAUCAGCAGGGAAGAAAAUGACGGUACUUGUGUAAGAAGCCCCGGCUAACUACGGGCCAGCAGCCGCGGUAAUACGUAGGGGGCAAGCGUUAUCCGGAUUUACUGGGUGUAAAGGGAGCGUAGACGGCAGUGCAAGUCUGGAGUGAAAGGCGGGGGCUCAACCCCCGGACUGCUCUUGAAACUGUACGGCUGGAGUGAAGGAGAGGGAAGUGGAAUUCUUGGUGUAGCGGUGAAAUGCGUAGAUAUUAGGAGGAACACUAGUGGCGAAGGCGGGUUACUGGACUGUAACUGACGUUGAGGCACGAAAGCGUGGGGAGCGAACAGGAUUAGAUACCCGAGUAGUC
rnacentral:rRNA from 1 species